rnacentral:rRNA from 1 species
CAGUCGCCGCGGGAAUACAGAGGGUGCAAGCGUUAAUCGGAAUUACUGGGCGUAAAGCGCGCGUAGGUGGUUUGUUAAGUUGGAUGUGAAAUCCCCGGGCUCAACCUGGGAACUGCAUCCAAAACUGGCAGGCUAGAGUAGGGCAGAGGGUGGUGGAAUUUCCUGUGUAGCGGUGAAAUGCGUAGAUAUAGGAAGGAACACCAGUGGCGAAGGCGACCACCUGGGCUUAUACUGACACUGAGGUGCGAAAGCGUGGGGAGCAAACAGGAUUAGAUACCCGUGUAGUCCCUGUCUCUUAUAC